rnacentral:rRNA from 1 species
GACGAACGCUGGCGGCGUGCUUAACACAUGCAAGUCGAACGGAAAGGCCCCUUUGGGGGUACUCGAGUGGCGAACGGGUGAGUAACACGUGAGUAACCUGCCCUUGACUUCGGGAUAACUUCAGGAAACUGGGGCUAAUACCGGAUAGGAAUCCUUGCUGCAUGGUGGGGGUUGGAAAGCUUUGGCGGUUUUGGAUGGACUCGCGGCUUAUCAGCUUGUUGGUGGGGUAGUGGCUUACCAAGGCUUUGACGGGUAGCCGGCCUGAGAGGGCGACCGGCCACAUUGGGACUGAGAUACGGCCCAGACUCCUACGGGAGGCAGCAGUGGGGAAUAUUGCACAAUGGGCGGAAGCCUGAUGCAGCAACGCCGCGGGCGGGAUGACGGCCUUCGGGUUGUAAACCGCUUUCAGCAGGGGCGAAGCUUGUGGUGACGGUACCUGCAGAAGAAGCACCGGCUAACUACGUG